GGCUAAUCUAUGCACAGCCCAAAUUUCACAAAGCUCGUCUAGUGCCUUAUAGUAUUCGUCCAAAAGUGGAAGCAGAAUUGGAUCGUCUAGAACAAGAUGGAGUAAUUUCAAAAGUCUCUUGGAGUGACUGGGGCACACCUAUUGUGCCUAUUAUAAAAAGGGAUGGUUCAGUUAGAAUAUGUGGAGAUUUUAAAGUUUCCAUUAACCCAGUUCUACAGUCUGAUAAGUAUCCCUUACCUUUGAUUGAGGAUAUAUUUGCCUCUCUUGCGGGUGGACUAAAAUUCAGCAAAAUUGAUCUUGCUCAAGCCUACUUACAAAUGGAGGUAGUGGAAAAUGCCAAACACUACCUUACAAUCAACACGCCAAAAGGACUAUACCGAUACAACAGAUUAGUAUUUGGCGUGGCCUCGGCACCUGCCAUAUGGCAAAGAGCCAUGGAUCAAGUUCUACAAGGCAUUCCACAUACUAAAUGUUAUCUGGAUGACAUAAUUGUGACAGGCACAGAUGAUACAGAAUAUUUGGAAAACCUAAAGAGGGUUCUAACACGGCUGGAAGAAUAUGGGCUAAGAGCCAACAAAGAAAAAUGUGCCUUCUUUAAGGACUCUAUACAAUAUUGUGGACAUAUUAUAGAUGCCAAUGGCUUGCACAAGUCUCCAGAGAAAAUCCAAGCAGUGUUACAAGCACCACUGCCCAAGGAUGUAACACAGCUCAGAUCGUUUUUGGGAUUUAUUAAUUAUUACAGCCGGUUUGUUCCAAAUCUUGCAACUGUGCUAUACCCAUUAAAUCAAUUGCUGCAGAAAGGUCAAAAAUGGGAGUGGACUGUACAGUGUGACAAAGCCUUCAAGGAAGCAAAGACAUUGGUCACGUCUGAUGAUGUCCUUGUGCAUUUCAAUGCUUCCUUGCCAUUAAAACUGGCAUGUGAUGCUUCCCCAUAUGGCAUUGGAGCUGUGAUAUCUCAUGUUCUCCCAGACAAAAGUGAAAGGCCGAUAGCAUUUGCUUCAAGAUCACUCACAAGUGCAGAACGCAACUAUGCACAGAUAGACAAGGAAGCACUUAGCCUUAUCUGCGGAGUGAAAAGAUUUAAUCAAUUUUUAUAUGGCCGGAAGUUUACACUCAUAACAGACCAUCAGCCAUUGGUUGCAAUACUUCAUCCAAAGAAAGGAGUUUCUGCAACAGCUGCUGCACGCAUGCAGCGCUGGGCUUUGUUUCUUGCUGGUUAUGACUAUGAUAUUGAGUUCAAGAGGACAGCUGCACACGCAAAUGCAGAUGGACUGUCACGUCUGCCACUACCAGAUCAAGACAGUUCUGAGGAAAAUUCUGAAUAUGUUAAUGUACAUCAGAUUGAUUGUCUUCCUCUAACCUGUAAAAUGAUUGAGAAUGAAACCAAAAGAGAUCCCACUCUAGCAUGUGUCUAUGAGGCAACUCUUAAAGGCUGGAAGUAUACAGACAAGGCCCCACUAAUUCCUUACUACUCACGUAGACAUGAACUGACCAUACAUGAAGGAUGUGUAAUGUGGGGAGUUCGUGUUGUUAUUCCCACAAAGUUGCAAUCAAGAGUACUAGAUGAGCUGCAUGAAGGCCAUCUAGGCAUAGUAAAAAUGAAGUCACUUGCAAGGAGUUUUGUGUGGUGGCCAGGAAUUGAUCAACAAAUUGAGCAACUAGCAAACAAGUGCAUUGGAUGUCAAGAAGUGCAGUCUAUGCCACAACCAGCUCCAGUUCAUCUGUGGGAAUGGCCCUCUGCUCCUUGGCAACGUAUACACAUUGAUUUUGCUGGACCAUUUCUGGGACUGAUGUUUUUCAUUAUUGUGGAUGCUCAUUCUAAAUGGCCAGAGGUUUUCUGCAUGAAGUCUACUAGUACCUCAUAUACUAUUGAUAUAUUGAGAACCUUGUUUGCAAGAACUGGAAUAUCUGAACAGAUUGUUAGUGAUAAUGGUCCUCAAUUCAUUUCUGAAGAAUUUCAAUUGUUUAUGAAACGCAAUGGAAUUAAACAUUCUACUUCAAAUCCAUACCAUCCUGCAACAAAUGGUUUAGCUGAAAGAUUUGUACAAACUAUGAAACAGUCACUGCGGUCAAUGGCACAUGACAGUGGAUCCCUGCAGCAUAAACUGGCAAGGUUUGUGUUAUCCUAUCGGAAUUCAAUUCAUUCAACUACAAGCUGUACACCUGCAAUGUUAUUUAUGGGCCGCAAUCUUAGGUCUCGGUUAGACUUGCUGAAACCAGAUCUCAAUCGUCAUGUGAGAAACCACCAAUUUAAAAUCAGGGGAGGAGAGAGGAGAACCUUGCGGCAGCUUAGUGUUGGGCAAACCGUCUUGGCAAGGAACUACAGAGGGCCUAAUAAAUGGCUACCAGCAAUUGUCACUGCUCAAAGAGGUCCAUGCAGUUACACCACGGUAAAAGUGGCAGGCAAUCUAUAUUGGCGUCGUCAUAUUGACCAGCUACGUAAUACUGCAGUUACCACUGAGCAAAACCAGACACAAAGCCUUGUUGGAAUUCCCUAUACUAAUAACAACCCCUGCAAGUCCAACCGAAAUGGAGAGUACAUACUCUGAAGCAUCGGUGGUACCUGAUUGUUCCGAGCACCAGUUUCCUUCCAUAGAAGAGGGCAACAUUUCUAGGCGUUACCCACAAAGAGAGCAUCGACCUCCUGAUAGACUUAACUUAUAACUUGUGACUUUUAUUAACCAUUUAUUUUACAGGUGUUACCACCAUGAAUCUUGAUGGGGGAGAGAACUGUUAAAUAUGAGUUAAAGGAAUUGUGCCUGUUGAAUCUGCUGAUGCUGUUCUAGUACUAGAGUCUUAUGUAUAAGGCUUCCUGUUGAAUCUGCUGUUAUGUUUUCUAUGCUACUUUUAUCUUACUAAGUUAUGGAGUUUCCUUCCUGUUAAGCAUUACACAAUUACUCCAGCAGCUACUUGUCUGUGUGUUUCACUAUAUUCCAUGGACACAACAUAUAGGUAAUGGGAUUUGCUGCUUCCAGAUCUUCAUAAAAAUGAAGCUAUAGAGCUAUCGCUACAGCGAGGAACUACUCUCCUUAUACUGAAGAGAGUGGAUAAGAACUGGCUGCUGGGACAACAGGAUGGCCGGAGGGGGC